rnacentral:misc_RNA from 1 species
AGUACGGGCAACUGUCUGUUUCAUUUCCUCCACUUUGACCAUAAUUUCUGACUCUCUAUUGUCAGCGUCUUCUUUGACUUUUUCAACAUGUUUCUCCAGAUCUUCCAAUACCUUCAUCUUAUUGAUAACUGAUUGCAUUGCUGAGAACAGCGUUACCUUGUUGCUUUUAGCAUCCUCAAUGAUCUCGUCAAGAAGAUCAAUACUACAUGGUUGGCCUGACUGAGUGAUUGUG